rnacentral:rRNA from 1 species
UACGUAGGGGGCGAGCGUUGUCCGGAAUUAUUGGGCGUAAAGAGCUCGUAGGCGGUUUGUCGCGUCUGCUGUGAAAACCCGAGGCUCAACCUCGGGCCUGCAGUGGGUACGGGCAGACUAGAGUGCGGUAGGGGAGAUUGGAAUUCCUGGUGUAGCGGUGGAAUGCGCAGAUAUCAGGAGGAACACCGAUGGCGAAGGCAGAUCUCUGGGCCGUAACUGACGCUGAGGAGCGAAAGCGUGGGGAGCGAACAGG